rnacentral:tRNA from 1 species
GCCGGAAUAGCUCAAUUGGGAGAGCGUUAGACUAUAGAUCGAAAGGUCCCUGGUUCGAUCCCGGGCAUCGACA